rnacentral:rRNA from 1 species
UAACACGUGAGUAACCUGCCCUUAACUCUGGGAUAAGCCUGGGAAACUGGGUCUAAUACCGGAUAGGAGCGUCCACCGCAUGGUGGGUGUUGGAAAGAUUUAUCGGUUUUGGAUGGACUCGCGGCCUAUCAGCUUGUUGGUGAGGUAAUGGCUCACCAAGGCGACGACGGGUAGCCGGCCUGAGAGGGUGACCGGCCACACUGGGACUGAGACACGGCCCAGACUCCUACGGGAGGCAGCAGUGGGGAAUAUUGCACAAUGGGCGAAAGCCUGAUGCAGCGACGCCGCGUGAGGGAUGACGGCCUUCGGGUUGUAAACCUCUUUCAGUAGGGAAGAAGCGAAAGUG